UACGAAAUUUUAUAGAAGCUGUACAAAAUAUAGUAUAUAUGCGCAAUAUUGAAGCGUUCAAGGGGAUAUAAAGGUAAUGUACAUCACAUACACGUGUACUCUCAUGCAACAAAAUACAAUUAGAUUUAAUAGUAUAAGCUCUUUUAUUCAUCAUAAGAGAUUGGAAAUUUAAGUGUCUUACGAGGGUGAGUAAAAAGUUACCCGCUCUGUCGGUGUAGAAUUUAUUUUAAGCAAUUGUCAAAAAAGACAUACAUCAUUUUUUGACAUAAUCACUCGAUUUCUGUAUACACUUUGUCCAUUUGCCGAAGGACCUUUAUAUUUUCUCAUUAAAAAAUGUUUUGGGCUGAGCUGCGAACCACGAAUGCAUCGUCGUCUUCACCUUUUCAUCAGCUUUUUCGGCAUCCAUCUCGCACAAACUUUUUAAAAUCCAAAUCUGUCGUGCACUAUUGCAUAAGCAGAGCCGUGGCUGAUUUGCAAAUGAUUUGCCACAUUAUCCAGUGUCACUCGUCUAUUCCAUAGAGCAUAAGUUCAUGAGCACGUUCAAUGUUGUCAUCGUGGAUGUGGACGGGCGUCCAGCUGUUUUUUCAUAACACUUGUGCGAUCUUCUUUGAACUUUUGUGCCCAUUCAAACACACUUCGUGACAAAACACUUUCUCCAUAAUGUGCAUUAAAUCUUUGAUAAAUAUAGGCAUCAAACAUAACCUCCGACCACAAGAAACGAAUCACAGCAUCCUGCACUGUUUUCCUGCAAAUCACCAUUGCAAAGCGCCAUUACUCGCGCAACGGUCACAAACGAAUUGACGUAACACAAAGAAACCUGCGCAGCAGCACUGAACAGAUAUUGACGUCAUACGAAGAGUGCAGAUGGAUCAAUACGGUCGACAGAAGUUUUAACUAUCUGGAGUGCGGAUAAAUUUUUACUGAGAGUCGUAUAGGAAUCUAUAAUCUAGUACUUUCGAAAAUACGCCGAGAGUAUUCCUGAUGGUGAAACGAGCGUUGCUUCAUCGAACGCAGCUAAAGAAAACAACAUCUAUGUAGUUGGUGGUACGAUGCCUGAAAUAGAGGGCGAUAAAUUGUACAAUACCUGUACUAUUUGGGGUCCCGAUGGAACUUUGAUAGCAAAACACCGAAAGGUACAUCUAUUCGACAUCGACAUUCCUAAUAAGAUUACUUUUCGAGAGAGUGAUUCACUCAGUCCUGGUAACUCCCUAACGACGUUCGAUGUGAAGGGCUGCAAAAUAGGUAUUGGCAUUUGCUGUGAUAUUAGAUUCGAGGAAAUGGCACGCAUUUAUCGGAACAAAGGUGUAUUCUGUGCGGCUAAAGCAGUCACCUAAUGAAUUAUUGAGUACCAGGAAUGUUAGCGGUAAACAGGAUUGCGGCUAUGAAUGAUUCUCUAAUGUCUAUAUUAGAGAUGAAUUUGAUAAUUUAUCCUCAUAAUAUGCAAUCCGCUUUUAAGUGGAAAUCAUAAUUAACAAUUUCUGUUUGAUUAAAUAUGAAGAGCAGAUAAAUCUAUACGCUUAAAUCAAUAUUAGAAUUUCUUAACAUUUUUAUCAAAUAUUUUAGCACUGUAAAAGCGUCGUAGUAGAGAAAUAUUAGGUUGUUCCAAAAGUUUCUUUCGUUUUAUAAGAAAGUAAUAGAUGUACAACAUUUUUCGUUUUAUAUUAUUUUAUUGAAUUACGUGUGAUCCACCUUUUUCCAAUUUAAUGUAAAAUAAUAUAGAAUAACAUAAAACAAAAUAUGUUAUGCAUCUGUCAUUUCUUUAUAAAACGAAAGAAACUUGGGACAACCUAAUAGGAAUUUACUUUUAUUAUCCAUUAUAAAAAUGGAUUGUUAAUCCUCUAGGAGAUACGAACAAUAUAAUUGCAAUUAAUAAGGAAUAAGCUAGCAUAACUUAAACCAGCUUUUGCAGAAAGCUAUUAGCUAAAGAUGUUUAUUAAACAAUGACAACACGAAUUUUCUUAAGUACCCCAUUUGGUACUUAAUCUACUUCGUAAGUACUGUGUGUCCUAGCCUUCAAAGGAUGCAAUUUUAACCAGAAUGUUUCACAUUACUUACCCGUAUUAUUUCCUUGUAAUAUAAUUUAUAUUUACAUUAUCUACGUUACGUUACAUUCUACGCGUUAAUGUAAUGUGAUUUUUAUUUCUAAUCGAAGUUAUUCAAACUUUGUAGUAUCUCAAUAAAAAAUUAACAGCCUGCAAAAACUUCACAGAAGCAUUAGUUUCUUCGAAACUAUUGAAUUCAAAUGGCUAAUAUUCCUUAACAAUAUGCACUCGACGACGUUUAUCGAGAGAAGUAUGUGGCGUAAUAGUUAAACUUUCAAUUCAUAUACAUAUAUCGUUUAUGAAAAAGUAGUCAUUCUGCUUUUGUGAUCUGUGACACACUAUAAAUUCUCAUAAGCUAACCAACGCGUAAUCUUCUGUAACGUAUUAAUAUAAUAUAAGUAUGUAUAUCUCGACUUUGAGCAACCAAUUGGUGCUAAAUAAGCUUUAGUACAUACUUCUUACACGUAACAAAAGACCAGUUAACAUCUCUGCUCUUAAAAGAAAAACGAAAGAAGCUCUGAAAAGCUGCAGAGUUCAGGUCGAAUAACACCAGCUCAGAUAAAUGACCCUCUAACUUACCUUUGUCCUCAUCGACGUCAGUGAUUUUAAAGCUAGUUAUAAAGUGCACUCCUCAGCCAGCGUCCACGGCAGUCAAUAUUAUUUAACGGGUCUUAACGCGAUGUAAAAAGGGAAAAAGGAGGAAAGAAGGAACAGGGAAGCAAAGAGAAGAGACAAAUUUUUCAUUUUCUCGAAACUGGAUCAAGUUUCAGGCUGCUCGCCAAAGAGUCUGUAGCUAACGAGACAAGAUUAGACAAACCACGCUUUAAAAUUGCCACAGAACUAUAAUAAUCCUCGAAAUCAAUACGAUUCGUCGAUCCAUCGCCUGAUUAAAAAAUGAGAUAGGAUGAAGCUCACUAGUCGGCCUUUGAACUUUCAAUAGCGCUUACGGCUCGUAUACUCUAGUUUGAAUGCUACAAUGUAAGCCAAGUCAGCUGUAACUAGCGUUCGCGUGAUUGUCGCUAUCUAUUAUUCACGCGUUACACGUUCACCAGACAAACGCGUCUACCGGUUGACAUUGUUUUCUGUCCUGAGUUUCAAAGCAAUUAUGUUGCUUCGUGUAAUCAAAUCUCGCCAAACUAACGAUAAGUUCUUGUUUGACCUUACACAGUUAUUAAAACUAUACAAGUUAAACCAAUCUAGCCUAAACAAGUAAUGUCGUUAUAUAUUCUUUUUUAAAUCUAUAUAUUGUUUAAUAAAUCGUGGUUAGGAUAUAGUAGCUGACAAAAAUAUUCGGAUAAAUAUAUUGUAGAAACAUUUUAGGAGUGUAUUAUGCAUAGUGGCACUAUUUAAUACUGUACUGUGACUAUCAUGGUCGUGUUGGUAUUAUUCGAAACUAAUCUGAAAAUCUGUAUGGAAUUUGUAAGAUAUUUAGUACGAGUACUGUGCAUUACUGAUAUGUACACAACCGAGACGAGAUAACGAAGGUACUGCUCUCCAUCGUUCAUCGCUACGCGUUGCUAAUAGCAACGUAUAAUGCAUAUAUAUCUCGCAAAGACCAUAAAAGUACCCAAUGGAACCACGUUUAAUAUUUGAUAAUAAUGUCCCAUUACAGUUUCGUCAUUUUCAAUUAAUUAAACACGACCCUCUCUUUAAAAAUUAGAAGAUAAAAUACGUAAUACAAAUCUACUCGAAAUCUUUUAAACCUUACGGACGACCUUACGGACCUUACUUAUGGUCUUUAAAAGCAGCAGGGAUUAGCAGAAUAUUAACUGCGGAUUUUUCUUGGACCGCAGCAUGCAAUAUGAAAUAUGGUUAUUAAAAUGUACACUGAAAAUUUCAUAUCCAUAAGAUACUCGUGCUUGUAGAACCUUGAAAAUGAAUUCUUAACCCAAAUAGUCGACCGCGAUACUCGAGAAAUUUUGUGAAGCUGACGUCAAUACCAAUAUGUACCGUCGUUGUGCUAUUAUUUCGUGAUAAACCGUAUUGAUUGCACUUCCAUUUCACGGAAUUAAUUUUUCCACACAAAAAGUGAUAACGAUAAUCGAAAAAAGAAAAAUAUACUACCACAUUUCGUAUCAGCAUACACAAGCGCACUCGAUUUUACACGAGUAUACAAUUUGCAAAUUCGACGGAACGAUCGGAUUUAAUUAUUUUUUCGAUAUUUCAGGCAUCAAGUUCUAUUUACACAUCGAACGUUGAAAUACGGCGAAAUACAAAAUGUAUAAACCACUCUGGACAUUAAUUAACUUUAAACGUUAUUGAUUAAUUAAAGAAACCAACCAUUGUGUUGAUUUUUACAUUUUGAAAAAUUGUUAUCCACUUUUGCUUUGUUUAAAAAUUGAAAAAAAAUACUUUUAUUGUAAGUCACGAGUAUCUCUUUUAUUUAUUUAAACUUUAGAUCAAAUAUUACAAUUUAUAAAUAUAUCAUUUAUUUAGAUAUACUUGUAAUAUCUGUUUUAUAAGUUUGUACAACCAUUUAUCUAUUUAUCUAUUUUAUUUGCACAUAAUCUUUAUAGACUGAUUUUGUAAGGAAUAAAAAAUUGUGAUUCUAUUUAAAAACGAUCGUGUCAGACUCAAGUGAUAAGCGAUAUAUAUUUCAGCGAUAUAUAUAUUCAGAUUUCACCAUCACAUAAACGGUGCUAUUGGAAACGUUUCACAAUGGACGUCUUACAAGCGCCUGCGAUGUCCGUCAUAUGUAAAGCUAUACCACUAAAUCACGGCCGCCAUUUAGUGAUUAAGGUCGAUCACUUAGAGUUGUUAAUCCGACAUAAUGGCGAGCAAUACAUCGAAGACAUUAUUGGAAACACAGUUACAGUUUAAUUUCAUUGAGCUUAUUUGCAAAUAAAUGUGUACAAUAUA